AAAGAAAAGCAGAGAAAGGGAGUUAAUUUCCAAAUAUCUGAAAUUCCUGUGCCCACAUUUUGUACUUUGCACAUAUUGACAUGAGAGAAAAGGGAUUUCCUCCAACAAGGUCAUAUGCGUUAGACUUUUCUGGCACAGUAAAGGGAUAGAAUAUUAAAAAAAUAAAUAAAUAAAAGUGGCCCUUUAAUUUAAAGGGCAUGAAGAGGAACUCACAACUAAUAAGAGUGGCUUUUUUCGCUGCCCAGUUAUGUGGGUUUUGGGGUAUAUGUGACCUUUGAUAGGAUGUGGUGCUUAGGGUGGGCAUUGAUGAUACACAAGGAGCUGAUUGAAAUUUCCUUUGCACACACUGGGAAAGGAAGGAGAAAAUUGUAAUCGGGGAAGAGGGAGGAAGUGGUGGUCAGGGUAAGCAUCUGGGGUCUAGCCUUCCACCAUGUUGAACUACCGCCAUAAUGUCCUGUAAUUUAUUCUAGGGCAACAAUCUUUCAAUGUGUACUUUAAUUUAAAAAGAAUGAAAGGCAGAUAUUGAACAACUCUCUUGAAGCUGUUUGUGUGUUUAUUAUUAAUUUUAACCAAUUGCUUUAUGCAUUCAUUUACAGGUCCAAUUCUGUGACAUGGUCUUGCUGUAUAGCCCAGGCUAGUAGGGCACAUCCUAGGUAGCCUGGACUUGCCCCAAAGUCACCAUCGUCCUGCCUCUGCUGGAAACAAAUUUGCUGGAAAGAGCUCAAAAUGUGGACUAACUUGGUCAAAAAUGUUUUAAUUUAUGUCAAGUCAUCCCCCAAAGCCUCAUGCUCUCAAAGCCUCUUCAAAUUGUCAACAGGAAGUGGGAGUUCCUCAACCACAAGAACUUUGGAAGUGAUAGCAUUUGGAGAGGACGCUGAAUGGGAUUCCCUAAUGUCUCUUUUCAGAGUUGGUAACUAGGGUGGUGGCCAGAGAAUUCUUGAUGCUGAGCCCUCAGGUCUGGAUCGUGUUUCCUUUUCUUUAGCUUGCAGUCUGAAGUGAGCAGUUUUGAAGAUACAAUACAAAAAACAUCUGUUUUCAACUUUUUAAGCAAGUGAAAGGAAUUUCUCACUGAAUGUUGGGUGGGCUUUUGUGGUGAAAUAAAGUUAAUUUUUGUCGUUC